CCUACGGGGGGCUGCAGUGAGGAAUCUUGCGCAAUGGGGGAAACCCUGACGCAGCCACGCCGCGUGGGUGAAGAAGGUCUUCGGAUCGUAAAGCCCUGUCAGGUGGGAAGAACCGCAGUCGGGUGAAUAAUCUGGCUGCCUGACGGUACCACCAAAGGAAGCACCGGCUAACUCCGUGCCAGCAGCCGCGGUAAUACGGAGGGUACAAGCGUUGUUCGGAAUUACUGGGCGUACAGCGCGAGUAAGCGGCGAAAGCCCUCGGCUUAACCGGGGAAGUGCAUCUGAUACUGUCGGGCUUGAGUCCUGGAGAGGGUUGUGGAAUUCCCGGUGUAGAGGUGAAAUUCGUAGAUAUCGGGAGGAACACCAGUGGCGAAGGCGACAACCUGGACAGAGACUGACGCUGAGACGCGAAAGCGUGGGGAGCAAACAGGAUUAGAUACCCCAGUAGUC
rnacentral:rRNA from 1 species